GGUUGAUGUCCAGGUCUCUGCGGCUAUGGGAGAGGGGCAGAGGCAGAGGUGGGCACGCCAGGACAAGAUGUUGGUCAUCCCAAGCCCAACACUGCCAUUGGUGAAGCAGGGAGGCGUGGACCUGCUCUGCAUAAAUGGACCAGGGGCUUCCCUGGGCACAGGUUUUUGGACUCUCCAACACAUCCCAGUACCAUGCACACAGCCGGUCCUUAAUAUUUGUAGAAGAAUGAGAAGAAGGACAGACAUCAGUAUCAAGGCUGGAUGACUGGAAUCAGGGAUGUCACUGACACCCCCAACACUCCUGCCCAGGAAGGCCUCAGGAGAGGAGGAAAAGUGGAAGAGCCCAGGGCAGGGAGUCCGACGCUCUGCUCCCUUCUGCCCCUCACAGGGCGUGACCUCGUGCAGGAAAUGACCUCCUCUGAGGCCCAAUACCCUGCUCAUCUACAAACUGGGAUGCCACAGCAUCACGGAGCUGCAAUCUGGAGUGAGCCAGGGCAGAUGCCAAAUACACCUGUCUGCCUCCUCUUGCUGGGCUGGGAGGGGCAAAUCCCAGGGUGCCCCAAAUCUGCAGAGGCCCCCACCCCCUCACCUGACUGAAGAGGUGGGAGAGCACCGUGUCAGGUAAAGUGCUGGUCAGGCCGGAGAGCUGCAGGGAGCAGGGUGCCAGCGUGAGUGCUGCCCCUCACCCCACCCUAGGUGCACCCACCCCACCCCCAGUCACACACCCACCUUGGUGGCAGCCCAGUCUAUCCAGCCUUUGCCGUUGGGGUCGAUGUUCACCAGCACCAGCCCCUCCACCAGAUCGGGGAAGAUGAGCUGCAUUAAAAGGGAAGACAGGGCUGGGCGGGGCCGGGACGGGUGCAGACAGCAGAAACGCACUGUGAAGUCUUCAAGGUGCCACUGAUGAGCAGCUGGGUCCGUGCCCGCACACCCAGGUCCAGACGCCCCUGCUUGUCCUCCUGUCACCCAGCCCUUCACAGUUCCUGGAUUUAUUUAGAAUCUCUAUCACUGUUUCCAAAUAAAAUU